CUUUGCACUGGACUUUGAGCUUGCUUGUGUAGGAUAGGUGGGAGGCUUUGAAGCGUGGACGCCAGUCUGCGUGGAGCCAUCCUUGAAAUACCACCCUGGCAACCUUGAGGUUCUAACUCUGGUCCGUCAUCCGGAUCGAGGACAGUGUAUGGUGGGCAGUUUGACUGGGGCGGUCUCCUCCUAAAGAGUAACGGAGGAGUACGAAGGUGCGCUCAGACCGGUCGGAAAUCGGUCGUAGAGUAUAAAGGCAAAAGC
rnacentral:rRNA from 1 species